UACGGAGGGGGCUAGCGUUGUUCGGAAUUACUGGGCGUAAAGGGCGCGCAGGCGGCUGCUCAAGUCAGGCGUGAAAGGCCUGGGCUCAACCCAGGAAUUGCGCUUGAGACUGGGCUGGCUUGAGUGCGGGAGAAGAUGGUGGAAUUCCCAGUGUAGAGGUGAAAUACGUAGAUACUGGGAAGAACACCGGUGGCGAAGGCGGCCAGCUGGACCGCAAAUGACGCUGAGGCGCGAAAGCGUGGUGAGCAAGCAGG
rnacentral:rRNA from 1 species